UCUCUCGAUGUGCCGCACCAGGCCCUCCUGUUCAGCGAAAGCGCAGCCGCAAUCUAUCCAUCGGCAUUGGUACGUCGACGUCAGGUUGUCGUCGGCCGUCGAACACUCUGGGGAAACAAGCGUGCGUCAUUGGACGUUCGAAAUUGUUUAUAAACAACACGCAGCACGACCCUUGUUAAGACGUGUCCGCGAGGCACUCGAGCGUGUGGCACUCGUGCUUGUUUUAAUACUUGAGAGGUUACCCGAGACCCUAGGUUUUGGAUAGGCUGUGUAUUCCUCGAAUCACGCUGCCGGAAAUAAUACCUCACCACCACAAGGAACUUCCAAACUCACCGUAAGACUUAUUUCGAUUCUCCGUCUCGGACACAGCCUUGGAGACAGGCACGCGUCGAUCGGCGAGCAGCAGUCCUUCGUUUCUAGGAAGAACGACUUGGUUCCCGAAGCACUCGGCCAUCCCCGUGUCGCUGACGAACG